ACAAUUUCUCCGUUUUCUAAGCCAAGAUCAUAUAUAGUAUCCGUUCUUUGAUAUGUAGUUUCUGCAACGGUCUCUAAACUGACAUCAAUGAAAUUACCUGUAUUUUUCGCCUGCGGACAGGUGCCGUGAGCUUGUUCAACACCCAUCCACGGGUCGGCCUCGUAUUACAUAAUCAAUUUAGGGUAACAUGUGAGCUGGUCAUU
rnacentral:snRNA from 1 species